rnacentral:rRNA from 1 species
GACGAACGCUGGCGGCGUGCUUAACACAUGCAAGUCGAACGGAAAGGCCCCUUUGGGGGUACUCGAGUGGCGAACGGGUGAGUAACACGUGAGUAACCUGCCCUUGACUUCGGGAUAACUUCAGGAAACUGGGGCUAAUACCGGAUAGGAAUCCUUGCUGCAUGGUGGGGGUUGGAAAGCUUCGGCGGUUUUGUAUGGACUCGCGGCUUAUCAGCUUGUUGGUGGGGUAGUGGCUUACCAAGGCUUUGACGGGUAGCCGGCCUGAGAGGGCGACCGGCCACAUUGGGACUGAGAUACGGCCCAGACUCCUACGGGAGGCAGCAGUGGGGAAUAUUGCACAAUGGGCGGAAGCCUGAUGCAGCAACGCCGCGUGCGGGAUGACGGCCUUCGGGUUGUAAACCGCUUUCAGCAGGGGCGAAGCUUGUGGUGACGGUACCUGCAGAAGAAGCACCGGCUAACUACGUG